GCUGGGUGUAGUGGCGCAUGCCUGUAAUCCCAGCUUCUCUGGAGGCUGAGGCAGGAGAAUCGUUUGAACCUGGGAGGCAGAGGUUGCAGUGAGCUGAAAUCAUGCCACUGCAUUCCAGCCUGGGUAACAGAGUGAGACUCUGUCUCAA
ensembl:misc_RNA Metazoa_SRP Metazoan signal recognition particle RNA